rnacentral:rRNA from 1 species
GCAGUGGGGAAUUUUGGACAAUGGGCGCAAGCCUGAUCCAGCAAUGCCGCGUGAGUGAAGAAGGCCUUCGGGUUGUAAAGCUCUUUUGUCAGGGAAGAAACGGUGAGGGCUAAUAUCCUUUGCUAAUGACGGUACCUGAAGAAUAAGCACCGGCUAACUACGUGCCAGCAGCCGCGGUAAUACGUAGGGUGCAAGCGUUAAUCGGAAUUACUGGGCGUAAAGCGUGCGCAGGCGGUUUUGUAAGUUUGUCGUGAAAGCCCCGGGCUCAACCUGGGAAUUGCGAUGAAGACUGCAAGGCUUGAAUCUGGCAGAGGGGGGUAGAAUUCCACGUGUAGCAGUGAAAUGCGUAGAGAUGUGGAGGAACACCGAUGGCGAAGGCAGCCCCCUGGGUCAAGAUUGACGCUCAUGCACGAAAGCGUGGGGAGCAAACAGGAUUAGAUACCCUGGUAGUCCACGCCCUAAACGAUGUCUACUAGUUGUCGGGUUUUAAUUAACUUGGUAACGCAGCUAACGCGUGAAGUAGACC